rnacentral:rRNA from 1 species
GACGAACGCUGGCGGCGUGCUUAACACAUGCAAGUCGAACGGAAAGGCCCUGCUUUUGUGGUGUGCUCGAGUGGCGAACGGGUGAGUAACACGUGAGUAACCUGCCCUUGACUUUGAGAUAACUUCAGGAAACUGGAGCUACUACCGGAUAUGAGCUCCUGCUGCAUGGUGGGGGCUGGAAUGUUUGGGCGGGUGGGGAUGGACUCGCGGCUUAUCAGCUUGGUGGUGGGGUAGUGGCUUACCAAGGCUUUGACGGGUAGCCGGCCUGAGAGGGUGACCGGCCACAUUGGGACUGAGAGACGGCCCAGACUCCUACGGGAGGCAGCAGUGGGGAAUAUUGCACAAUGGGCGGAAGCCUGAUGCAGCAACGCCGCGUGCGGGAUGACGGCCUUCGGGUUGUAAACCGCUUUCGCCUGUGACGAAGCGUGAGUGACGGUAAUUGGUAAAGAAGCACCGGCUAACUACGUG